rnacentral:rRNA from 1 species
UACGUAGGGGGCAAGCGUUGUCCGGAUUUAUUGGGCGUAAAGAGCGUGUAGGCGGCCAAGCAGGUCAGCUGUGAAAACUCGAGGCUCAACCUCGAGACGUCGGUUGAAACCGUUUGGCUAGAGUCCGGAAGAGGAGAGUGGAAUUCCCGGUGUAGCGGUGAAAUGCGCAGAUAUCGGGAAGAACACCCGUGGCGAAGGCGGCUCUCUGGGGACGGUACUGACGCUGAGACGCGAAAGCGUGGGGAGCGAACGAGGA